UGACACAACUUGGUUAGGUGCCCAGGC
rnacentral:piRNA from 1 species